rnacentral:miRNA from 1 species
GAGAUGGGAGGAUCACUUGAGCCCAGGGGGUCGAGGCUGCAUUGAGCUGUGAUCAUGCCACUGCACUCCAGCCUGAGUGACAGAGCGAGACCCUGUCUC